rnacentral:rRNA from 1 species
GAUGAACGCUGGCGGCGUGCCUAAUACAUGCAAGUCGAGCGAACGGACGAGAAGCUUGCUUCUCUGAUGUUAGCGGCGGACGGGUGAGUAACACGUGGAUAACCUACCUAUAAGACUGGGAUAACUUCGGGAAACCGGAGCUAAUACCGGAUAAUAUUUUGAACCGCAUGGUUCAAAAGUGAAAGACGGUCUUGCUGUCACUUAUAGAUGGAUCCGCGCUGCAUUAGCUAGUUGGUAAGGUAACGGCUUACCAAGGCAACGAUGCAUAGCCGACCUGAGAGGGUGAUCGGCCACACUGGAACUGAGACACGGUCCAGACUCCUACGGGAGGCAGCAGUAGGGAAUCUUCCGCAAUGGGCGAAAGCCUGACGGAGCAACGCAGCGUCAGUGAUGAAGGUCUUCGGAUCGUAAAACUCUGUUAUUAGGGAAGAACAUAUGUGUAAGUAACUGUGCACAUCUUGACGGUACCUAAUCAGAAAGCCACGGCUAACUACGUG